rnacentral:rRNA from 1 species
AUGGCGAGAGCACUCCUGGAGUCCGCAGGCGGCGCGGCAGCGGUGGCGCCGGGCUUCCUGCCGCCGUGGCUCGCGGCGCUCGGCAUGGUAGUGGCGUCGGUCUGGGUCGUCUCGUUCGCGGUGUUCCUCUGCGGCCGCAGCAGCUCGCACGACGACGUCGACGUCCCCAAGAGGAAGCCCGCCGCUGCUGCCACGGCGGCCAAGGCUAGCAGGCCGGCGAGCGUCACGCCUACCAAGGUGAGGUCGUCGAGGUCCGGGAGCUCGGCGGUCGGCACGACGGGUUGGCACGGAGCCGCGUACGCCUCCGGUGGAUGCCAUGGCCACGGACACGGCGGUGGUGGCGGCGGCUGUGGUGGCGGAGGAGGAGGAGGUGGUGGUGGUGGCGGCGGCGGGGGCUGCGGCGGAGGCGGCGGCGGAGGCUGCUAA